CUACUUUUUCCUCUGUUUCGUUCGACCACCCCCUUCCCUUUUUCCUUGCAGUUCCGCCACCGCAAAACCACAUCACUGUCGCCUCCUCUCCGGCCUGGUUCCGUGCCUUUGCGCCGCCCAUACCUCCGGUCACCACCUCCCUCUUUUCCUCCCUGCUCCUCCGCGUGCCCUCCUCCCCUGCUUCCCCUGUUCCUUCGUGUUCUGUUUCCCUCAAAGGAAACGAGUUCCAGUAAUUGGAACUUUGUUUUGUUGCUCAAGUUAAGCCCACAUUCCCUUGGCCCAAAUUCCCAAAAAAUCGAACUCGGAGCUCAGGAAUAACGAUCCAUCGAACAGGAAGUAUAAACUACGGUUGAGGUACGAAGAAGAUCAUGGGAUGCCUUAGAGUGAGGAUGCAACCAUCAAAUUCACGAUCGAUGUUUAGUAGAGACAAUUAUGUCAUUAGUAAUAAAGGGAUGUAUUAAUUAAACUCUAAGUUUGAUCUCAUGAUUUGAGUUAGAUUUUAAUACUAAUAUUAACCAAAUGCUAAAAGUAUUUAUUAUUAAAGUUUAUUUAGUAAUUGAAAAAGGUUAUGUCGCCUUGUAUUUUCCACGAGGGAAAUACGGCAAGUGACGCUCCGACUAAAUUAGGGUUUCCGCUGCAAAUUAAAGAUAAUUAACCUAAUUAAUGGUGUUUAGAAGUCGGGGCGUUA